rnacentral:lncRNA from 1 species
CCCAAGCCUUGAUUGGGUCUUCAACAGGGACGUAUUUCGUUAAUUGAAUUCUGCUUGAAUUUAAUUGUGACAGUAACAAUUUUUUUAAUAAAUUUGUGAUAUGGAAGGACGUACGGAAGAAGCUUUGGAGGAGAUCCGGAAUUCGUUAGCUACUAUCUCGGCGGACCAAAAUAAAAGGUUAACAGAUGUAACCAUACGUCACGAUCUUGCUAUUUCGAACAUCUGUGACGAAUUGGGGGAGAUAAAGCAGCUACUGAAAGGUUUCAACGGUAACUUCGGAGGUAAAGGAUUUGAGUCAAACGGCAAAGGUCUAAGAUCAAUCAAACUGGACUUGCCGAAAUUUUCGG